rnacentral:lncRNA from 1 species
CCCAAAACGAGACAGAAAGAGCAAAAUCCUUCCUGUGGUGGAGCUGCUGUGGGAGGAGAGCUCUUGCCUUCUGGAAGAGGAAGCAACCUUUGCAGCUGUGAAACCUGAGAGAACAAUGGAGGUUGUGUAGACCAGAAGUUACAGGGGGCUGCUCUCAGGGCUUGAUGCCAGAGAUGUCCCACAGCAGCAAUCUUUUCUCUGUAAUAAAUUCUAAACUUCUCUUGACCUUAUUGCUGCAUUCUGGGCUGAAAUACAUCUGAACAACUGAUGGGAGGCUGAAUUUGAACUCAGCUUUUUAUUCCUGCCUUAGCCAUGCAGUGGAAGAACAUCUCAUACCACACCCUCCAUCUUGCUGUUGUGAAUUAAGUUGCUUUUUCAAGUGGUUCCUCACAUGCAGAUAUGUGCAAAAAUUGGAACUGAAUUAUUACUUUGUCCUCAGAGAAUUAAAACCUUUAAAAAUGCCUGCUUCUUGCCAAAUGAGACGUAAGAUCCUGAUUUACACCAUCAGUUUUCUAUACAUUGCAAGACAAAGGGAUCCUCGGAGAUGGGGACUGGCUCCCACACAAACCCCAGCUGGUUAACGUGGCCUCCUUAGGGCUGGAGGAAACAAGGCUGGGAAGAGGACAGGACAGAAGACUGUAAAAUCCUGGGUGA